CAGUAGCGUAUAUUAAAGUUGUUGCAGUUAAAAAGCUCGUAGUUGGAUUUCUGGUACGCUGCGCCUGGCCCGCCCGCGUUAGCGGUGUGAGUGUCGGUGCGCGGUUGCCAUCCUUCUAGAGAACGGGUCUACCCUUCACUGGGCCGGAUUCGGGAUCUAGAUCAUUUACUUUGAAAAAAUUAAGAGUGUUUAAAGCAGGCUUUUGCUAUGAAUACAUUAGCAUGGAAUAAUAAUAUAGGACUUGGUUCUAUUUUGUUGGUUUCUAGGACUAAAGUAAAUGAUUGAUAGGGAUAGUUGGGGGUUGGCUAGUAUUCAGCGGCCAGAGGUGGAAAUUACUUGGAUUCGCUGAAGACUAACUUAUGCGAAAGCAUUCACCAAGG
rnacentral:rRNA from 1 species